GUGAGUGGCGGACGGGUGAGUAACACGUGGGUAACCUGCCCUAAAGUGGGGGAUAACAUUUGGAAACAGAUGCUAAUACCGCAUAAAACCUAGCACCGCAUGGUGCAAGGUUGAAAGAUGGUUUCGGCUAUCACUUUAGGAUGGACCCGCGGUGCAUUAGUUAGUUGGUGAGGUAAAGGCUCACCAAGACCGUGAUGCAUAGCCGACCUGAGAGGGUAAUCGGCCACACUGGGACUGAGACACGGCCCCGACUCCUACGGGAGGCAGCAGUAGGGAAUCUUCCCCAAUGGACGAAAGUCUGAUGGAGCAACGCCGCGUGAGUGAAGAAGGUUUUCGGAUCGUAAAACUCUGUUGUUGGAGAAGAACGUAUUUGAUAGUAACUGAUCAGGUAGUGACGGUAUCCAACCAGAAAGCCACGGCUAACUACGUGCCAGCAGCCGCGGUAAUACGUAGGUGGCAAGCGUUGUCCGGAUUUAUUGGGCGUAAAGCGAGCGCAGGCGGUUUCUUAAGUCUGAUGUGAAAGCCUUCGGCUCAACCGAAGAAGUGCAUCGGAAACUGGGAAACUUGAGUGCAGAAGAGGACAGUGGAACUCCAUGUGUAGCGGUGAAAUGCGUAGAUAUAUGGAAGAACACCAGUGGCGAAGGCGGCUGUCUGGUCUGUAACUGACGCUGAGGCUCGAAAGCAUGGGUAGCAAACAGGAUUAGAUACCCUGGUAGUCCAUGCCGUAAACGAUGAGUGCUAGGUGUUGGAGGGUUUCCGCCCUUCAGUGCCGCAGCUAACGCAUUAAGCACUCCGCCUGGGGAGUACGACCGCAAGGUUGAAACUCAAAGGAAUUGACGGGGGCCCGCACAAGCGGUGGAGCAUGUGGUUUAAUUCGAAGCAACGCGAAGAACCUUACCAGGUCUUGACAUCCUUUGACCACUCUAGAGAUAGAGCUUUCCCUUCGGGGACAAAGUGACAGGUGGUGCAUGGUUGUCGUCAGCUCGUGUCGUGAGAUGUUGGGUUAAGUCCCGCAACGAGCGCAACCCUUAUUACUAGUUGCCAGCAUUUAGUUGGGCACUCUAGUGAGACUGCCGGUGACAAACCGGAGGAAGGUGGGGACGACGUCAAAUCAUCAUGCCCCUUAUGACCUGGGCUACACACGUGCUACAAUGGAUGGUACAACGAGUCGCGAGACCGCGAGGUUUAGCUAAUCUCUUAAAACCAUUCUCAGUUCGGAUUGUAGGCUGCAACUCGCCUACAUGAAGCCGGAAUCGCUAGUAAUCGCGGAUCAGCAUGCCGCGGUGAAUACGUUCCCGGGCCUUGUACACACCGCCCGUCACACCAU
rnacentral:rRNA from 2 species